rnacentral:lncRNA from 1 species
CCAAACUGGGGCAGAAAUUUUCUUUGCUUUUGUCCAUUUUGUUGAAAUCAGGAGCCCACCUGGAGAACAAGAGAAUACAUUUCGAGUCUCAGCAAUCAGGAGCCCACCUGGAGAACAAGGGAAUACAAUUCAAGUUUCAGCAAUCAGGAGCCCACCUGGAGAACAAGGGAAUACAUUUCGAGUCUCAGCAAUCAGGAGCCUACCUGGAGAACAAGGGAAUACAAUUCAAAUUUCAAGUAGUCAGGAGCCCGCCUGGAGAACGAAGGGAAGAAGCAAUUCAAAUUUCAAAUAAUCAGGAGCCCGUAUGGAGAAUAGAGGAAAGGAAACAAUAGUCAAAGGAAGACAUUUAAAGGGGUUCAGCAGUCAGGUGCCUGCCUGGAGAAGAAGGGAAAGCAUUUCAAAGAAUACCAUUCAAGUCAGCCACCAAGGAACUUCUGAGGAAAAUACAAGUCAACGAGGCAACAUCAGUCACAAGAUCAAGUUUGAAAAUAAAUCUUUGUAAAGCAUAGAUUAUAGCUUAGUCUAGCUUCUUUAUUUUUGUCAUGGUGUAACAAGGAGGUCAGUAGGCAGUAUCAGCAGCAAAAACUGCAGUAACAGUAAAACCGCAGCUUCAUGGUAGUCCCAGCUACCAAACUUCCCGAACUACAUUGACCUGAUUCUUUUAUAGACAAGGAUAUAUAAGAAACCU